rnacentral:lncRNA from 1 species
UGACCAUUCCUCUCCCCACAGUGGGUGAGGCUGGAGGACCCCCACGGGAAGCCAUACUUCUACAAUCCAGAGGACUCCUCUGUUCGAUGGGAGCUGCCCCAGGUAACAACCUGGGGAAAGGGGGGUGUUGGGGAGAGAGGAAGAGAUCAUAUACGACUGUGUCUUUCUCCCCAGGUCCCUGUCCCUGCCCCUCGAAGCAUCCAUAAAUCCAGCCAGGAUGGUGACACCCCAGCCCAGGCCAGCCCUCCAGAGGAGAAGGUCCCAGCAGAGCUGGAUGAGGUUGGGAGCUGGGAGGAAGUCUCUCCUGCCACAGCUGCUGUGAGGACCAAGACCUUGGACAAGGCAGGGGUGCUCCAUCGCACCAAGACGGCAGACAAGGGAAAGCGGCUCCGGAAGAAGCACUGGAGUGCCUCCUGGACUGUGCUGGAGGGUGGCGUCCUGACAUUCUUCAAGGACUCAAAGACCUCGGCUGCAGGCGGCCUGAGGCAGCCUUCCAAGUUUUCCACCCCUGAGUACACAGUGGAGCUG